AGAGAUGGUGCAGAGGCUAAGGAUGGAGGCAGUGCAGCAUAGCACGUCCACCGCGGCCCAUACAUCGCAGAAGGUUCGGCCGAAGGCCCAGAAGCCUAGAACCUCCAUAGUGGCCGAGAAGGGCAACACAGCUGCACUCAGUAGUAGGGCAACUGGCCAGCCCAAGAUUUCAAAACCCACUAUGGUACGAUGGUGGCAUUGAGACAGCCCUGAAGGGGUCAAGGUGCUUGGGGAUGGGCGUGACUGGCGUGAGACCAGAUGGUGUGGCCACAGCCCUAGGACCUUGCCCACACUCUGAAUAAUACCAACUUUGGCCCUGCAACUUUACUCUGCAUCAGAAGUCGGAAUAAAUCUUCCUGUUGCUACUCG
rnacentral:lncRNA from 1 species